UACGUAGGCAGCAAGCGUUGUUCGGAGUUACUGGGCGUAAAGGGUGUGUAGGCGGUUCUCUAAGUCUGGGGUGAAAUCUCCCGGCUCAACUGGGAGGGUGCGCCGAAAACUGGAGGACUAGAGUGCGGGAUGGGAGAGUGGAAUUCCUGGUGUAGCGGUGAAAUGCGUAGAUAUCUGGAGGAACACCGGUGGCGAAGGCGGCAUCCUGGACCGGUAUUGACGCUGAGGCGCGAAAGCCAGGGGAGCAAACGGG
rnacentral:rRNA from 1 species